rnacentral:rRNA from 1 species
UACGAGGGGGGCGAGCGUUGUUCGGAAUUAUUGGGCGUAAAGGGCGCGUAGGCGGUGCGGUAAGUCACCUGUGAAACCUCUGGGCUUAACUCAGAGCCUGCAGGCGAAACUGCCGUGCUGGAGUGUGGGAGAGGUGCGUGGAAUUCCCGGUGUAGCGGUGAAAUGCGUAGAUAUCAGGAAGAACACCAACGGCGAAGGCAGCUCGCUGGGACGGUACUGACGCUGAGACGCGAAAGCGUGGGGAGCGAACAGG